rnacentral:rRNA from 1 species
UACGAAGGGGGCUAGCGUUGCUCGGAAUCACUGGGCGUAAAGCGCACGUAGGCGGAUUGCUAAGUCAGGGGUGAAAUCCUGGAGCUCAACUCCAGAACUGCCUUUGAUACUGGCGAUCUUGAGUCCGGGAGAGGUGAGUGGAACUGCGAGUGUAGAGGUGAAAUUCGUAGAUAUUGGGAAGAACACCAGUGGCGAAGGCGGCUAACUGGUCCAGAUCUGACGCUGAGGUGCGAAAGCGUGGGGAGCAAACAGG